CUAGUACUCCCUCCGUCCGAAAAAGUUUGUCCCUCAAAUGGAUGGACCUAGCUCCAAAUUAGCGCUAGAUACAUCCAUCUGAGGGACAAUCUUGGGACAAGCCUUUUCGGACGGAGGGAGUAUUUA
rfam:Triticum urartu cultivar G1812 contig869119, whole genome shotgun sequence.